rnacentral:lncRNA from 1 species
AAAAAAAAAUAUUUCAACUUCCUUUCUUGCUAGCUCUCCGGCCAUCCUGACGGCUGCUGUAGGUUGGGGGCCGUCCCGCAUCGAAGGCAGGAAGAUGGUGGCCGCAGAAAAGAUGAGAAAGUCUCUGGAGUCGAUCAACUCUUCGGCUCCAGCUUGUUAUGUAAAGUGGGAAGAACGUACUGGGGUACAAGCAAACUCUCAAGAUGAUCAGACAGGGCAAAGCGAAAUUGGUCAUCCUCGCCAACAACUGUCCAUCUUUGAGGAAAUCUGAAGUAGAGUACUAUGCCAGGUUGGCCAAAGCUGGUGUCCAUCACUCCAGUGGCAAUAAUAUUGAACUGGGCACAGCAGGUGGAACAUACCACAGAGUGUGCACACUGUCUAUCAUGGAUCCAGUGACUCUGAUACCAUUAGAAGCAUGCCAGAACAGACUGGUAAAAAGUAAAACAUGUAAAGUUUUUCUUUAAUAAAAUUUGGUAGAGUGUGUUUAAAAAAAAAAAAA